AACGUCAUGCUCAGGCGAUGCUUAGUACGGCGAGUGAAGCGGCAAAAGCUCAAAUUUGAAAUCUGGCACCUUCGGUGUCCGAGUUGUAAUUUGAAGAAGGUAACUUUGGAGUUGGCUCUUGUCUAUGUUCCUUGGAACAGGACGUCACAGAGGGUGAGAAUCCCGUGCGAUGAGAUGCCCAAUUCUAUGUAAAGUGCUUUCGAAGAGUCGAGUUGUUUGGGAAUGCAGCUCUAAGUGGGUGGUAAAUUCCAUCUAAAGCUAAAUAUUGGCGAGAGACCGAUAGCGAACAAGUACAGUGAUGGAAAGAUGAAAAGAACUUUGAAAAGAGAGUGAAAAAGUACGUGAAAUUGUUGAAAGGGAAGGGCUUGAGAUCAGACUUGGUAUUUUGCGAUCCUUUCCUUCUUGGUUGGGUUCCUCGCAGCUUACUGGGCCAGCAUCGGUUUGGAUGGUAGGAUAAUGACUAAGGAAUGUGGCUCUACUUCGGUGGAGUGUUAUAGCCUUGGUUGAUACUGCCCUGUCUAGACCGAGGGACUGCGUCUUUUUGACUAGGGAUGUUGGGCAUAAUGAUCUUUAAGCCACCCGUCUGAAAAACCGGGACCAAAAAAAAAAGAGGGAA
rnacentral:rRNA from 1 species